GGGCGAAUGGCGGAAUUGGUAGACGCGCUAGGUUCAGGGUCUAGUGUUCGCAAGGACAUGGGGGUUCAAGUCCCCCUUCGCCCACCA
rnacentral:tRNA from 1 species